GAUGAACGCUGGCGGCGUGCCUAAUACAUGCAAGUCGAGCGAACAGACGAGGAGCUUGCUCCUCUGACGUUAGCGGCGGACGGGUGAGUAACACGUGGGUAACCUACCUAUAAGACUGGGAUAACUUCGGGAAACCGGAGCUAAUACCGGAUAAUAUAUUGAACCGCAUGGUUCAAUAGUGAAAGACGGUUUUGCUGUCACUUAUAGAUGGAUCCGCGCCGCAUUAGCUAGUUGGUAAGGUAACGGCUUACCAAGGCAACGAUGCGUAGCCGACCUGAGAGGGUGAUCGGCCACACUGGAACUGAGACACGGUCCAGACUCCUACGGGAGGCAGCAGUAGGGAAUCUUCCGCAAUGGGCGAAAGCUUGACGGAGCAACGCCGCGUGAGUGAUGAAGGUCUUCGGAUCGUAAAACUCUGUUAUUAGGGAAGAACAAAUGUGUAAGUAACUAUGCACGUAUUGACGGUACCUAAUCAGAAAGCCACGGCUAACUACGUG
rnacentral:rRNA from 1 species